rnacentral:rRNA from 1 species
ACAAAAACAUCUCUUUUUGACACAUAAAAAGUACCGUCUGCUCAAUGCAAUUUGUAAAUAGCCGCAGUAUUCUGACUGUGCUAAGGUAGCAUAAUCAUUAGUCUUUUAAUUGAAGGCUGGUAUGAAUGACGAGACGAGAAAAUAGCUGUCUCUAAAAUAAAUCUUGAAUUUUAUUUCUAAGUGAAAAAGCUUAGAUAAUUUUAAAGGACGAUCAGACCCUUUGGAGCUUUAUUUAUUUUAAAUUUUAAUUUAUUUUAGAUUAUUGAAUGAAUAAUAAAUUUUGUUGGGGCGACAGAGAGUAAUAAAUACCACUCUUUUUUUUAAACAAUUAUAAUUGAAAAAUUGAUCCUUAAAGUAAGAUUAAAAGACUAAGUUACCCUAGGGAUAACAGCGUAAUCUUCUUGGAGAGUUCAAAUCGAUAAGAAGGUUUGCGACCUCGAUGUUGGAUUAAGAGAUUGACAAGGUGCAGAAGUUUUGUUGGAAAGUCUGUUCGACUUUUAAUUUCUUACAUGAUCUGAG